UACGAAGGGGGCUAGCGUUGUUCGGAAUCACUGGGCGUAAAGCGCACGUAGGCGGAUUUUUAAGUCAGGGGUGAAAUCCCGAGGCUCAACCUCGGAACUGCCUUUGAUACUGGAGAUCUUGAGUCCGGAAGAGGUAAGUGGAACUGCGAGUGUAGAGGUGAAAUUCGUAGAUAUUCGCAAGAACACCAGUGGCGAAGGCGGCUUACUGGUCCGGAACUGACGCUGAGGUGCGAAAGCGUGUGAGCAAACAGG
rnacentral:rRNA from 1 species